CACGUAGGGCGCAAGCGUUGUCGGGAAUUAUUGGGCGUAAAGAGCUCGUAGGCGGUCUGUUGCGUCCGCUGUGAAAACUCGGGGCUUAACCCCGAGCCUGCAGUGGAUACGGGCAGACUAGAGGUAGGUAGGGGAGAAUGGAAUUCCCGGUGUAGCGGUGAAAUGCGCAGAUAUCGGGAGGAACACCGGUGGCGAAGGCGGCAUCCUGGACCGACAUUGACGCUGAUGAGCGAAAGCUAGGGGAGCAAACGGG
rnacentral:rRNA from 1 species